UACCGCUUGACGGAGCGCCUGUGGAACAGGCUGAGAUUAUACACACUAUUAACCAGUGCAGUAUAAGUACCGUUGAACCUGAUCUGGUUAAUACCAGCGUAGGAAUCAAGCAACACUAGAUG
rnacentral:ncRNA from 2 species